rnacentral:rRNA from 1 species
AUAAGCAAAAUAAGGGCGUAUGGGGGAUGCCUAGGCUCUCAGAGGCGAAGAAGGACGUGAUAAGCUGCGAAAAGCUACGGGGAUUGGCACACACGAAUUGAUCCGUAGAUAUCCGAAUGGGGCAACCCACUAUGUUGAAGACAUAGUACACCGAUAGGUGGGCAAACCCGCUGAACUGAAACAUCUAAGUAGGCGGAGGAGAAGAAAACAAAAGUGAUUCCGUAAGUAGUGGCGAGCGAACGCGGAUUAGCCCAAACCAAUGUUGUUACGGCAAUAUUGGGGUUGUAGGACCACGACAUUUGUUGCGGAUUGAAUUAGAAUAACCUGGAAAGGUUAACCAUAGAGGGUGAUAGUCCCGUAUAAGUAAGAGAAGAUAACGAUAGUGGUAUCCUGAGUAGGGCGGGGCACGUGAAACCCUGUCUGAAUUUGGCGGGACCAUCCGCUAAGGCUAAAUACUCCUGAGAGACCGAUAGUGAACCAGUACCGUGAGGGAAAGGUGAAAAGAACCGUGAAUAACGGAGUGAAAUAGAUCCUGAAACCAUACGCUUACAAGCGGUCGGAGCCCUUUCGUGGGGUGACGGCGUGCCUUUUGCAUAAUGAGCCUACGAGUUAACGUUGCUGGCAAGGUUAAGUGAUUAAGUCACGGAUCCGUAGCGAAAGCGAGUCUGAAUAGGGCGCUUUAGUCAGUAGUGUUAGACGCGAAACCGUGUGAUCUACCCAUGGGCAGGAUGAAGCUGUGGUAACACAUAGUGGAGGUCCGAACCGGUUGACGUUGAAAAGUCUUCGGAUGACCUGUGGGUAGGGGUGAAAGGCCAAUCAAACUCGGAAAUAGCUCGUACUCCCCGAAAUGCAUUUAGGUGCAGCGUUGGUCAAAGUUAUAUAGAGGUAGAGCUACUGAUUGGAUGCGGGGGCUUCACCGCCUACCAAUUCCUGACAAACUCCGAAUGCUAUAUAAUGUUUACCAACAGUGAGGGCUUGGGUGCUAAGGUCCAAGUCCGAGAGGGAAAGAACCCAGACCAUCAGCUAAGGUCCCCAAAUAUAUGCUAAGUUGAAAAAACGAGGUUUGUCUGCCCAGACAGCUAGGAUGUUGGCUUGGAAGCAGCCAUUCAUUUAAAGAGUGCGUAACAGCUCACUAGUCGAGCGGACGAGCAUGGAUAAUAAUCGGGCAUAAGCAUAUUACCGAAGCUAUGGAUUUAUACGUAAGUAUAAGUGGUAGGGGAGCAUUCUAACAGGGUUGAAGGUGUAUCGUAAGGUAUGCUGGACUGGUUAGAAAAGAAAAUGUAGGCAUAAGUAACGAUAAUGCGGGCGAGAAACCCGCACACCGAAAGACUAAGGUUUCCUCAGCUAUGCUAAUCAGCUGAGGGUUAGUCGGGUCCUAAGGCGAACCCGAAAGGGACAGUCGUGGCCAACGGGUUAAUAUUCCCGUACUUCUUAUAAUUGUGAUGGGGUGACGGAGUGAUGAAAGCACCGCGAACUGACGGAAUAGUUCGUUGAAGUACCUACCUAUAAGCUGCGCAGGCAAAUCCACGCGGCUUGGGGAAAUACGAUAGUACUCGGAGUCUUCGGACAAAGAGAUAGUGUGCCUAAGGGCUUCCAAGAAAAACCUCUAAACUUAGAUUAAAAGUACCCGUACCGUAAACCGACACAGGUAGUCGAGGAGAGAAUCCUAAGGUGCUCGAGAGAUUCAUGGCUAAGGAAUUAGGCAAAAUAGACCUGUAACUUCGGGAGAAAGGUCGCCAGCAGCAAUGCUGGCCGCAGUGAAAAGGUCCAGGCGACUGUUUAUCAAAAACACAGGGCUCUGCAAAAUCGUAAGAUGAAGUAUAGGGCCUGACACCUGCCCGGUGCUGGAAGGUUAAGAGGGGAUGUCAUCGCAAGAGAAGCAUUGAAUCGAAGCCCCAGUAAACGGCGGCCGUAACUAUAACGGUCCUAAGGUAGCGAAAUUCCUUGUCGGGUAAGUUCCGACCUGCACGAAUGGCGUAACGAUGGCCACACUGUCUCCUCCUGAGACUCAGCGAAGUUGAAAUGUUUGUGAUGAUGCAAUCUCCCCGCGGAAAGACGGAAAGACCCCAUGAACCUUUACUGUAGCUUUACAUUGGACUUUGAACAGAUCUGUGUAGGAUAGGUGGGAGGCUUUGAAGCGGUGCCGCUAGGUGUCGUGGAGCCAACGUUGAAAUACCACCCUGGUGUGUUUGAGGUUCUAACCUUGGCCCGUUAUCCGGGUUGGGGACAGUGUAUGGUGGGCAGUUUGACUGGGGCGGUCUCCUCCCAAAGCGUAACGGAGGAGUUCGAAGGUACGCUAGGCACGGUCGGAAAUCGUGCUGAUAGUGCAUUGGCAUAAGCGUGCUUGACUGCGAGACUGACAAGUCGAGCAGGUACGAAAGUAGGACAAAGUGAUCCGGUGGUUCUGUAUGGAAGGGCCAUCGCUCAACGGAUAAAAGGUACUCUGGGGAUAACAGGCUGAUACCGCCCAAGAGUUCAUAUCGACGGCGGUGUUUGGCACCUCGAUGUCGGCUCAUCUCAUCCUGGGGCUGUAGCCGGUCCCAAGGGUAUGGCUGUUCGCCAUUUAAAGAGGUACGUGAGCUGGGUUUAAAACGUCGUGAGACAGUUUGGUCCCUAUCUGCCGUGGGUGUUCGAAGCUUGAGAGGAUCUGUCCCUAGUACGAGAGGACCGGGAUGGACAUACCUCUGGUGGACCUGUCAUGGCGCCAGCCGUGCAGCAGGGUAGCUAAGUAUGGAAUAGAUAACCGCUGAAAGCAUCUAAGCGGGAAA